AGAACGAACGCUGGCGGCAGGCCUCAAACAUGCAAGUCUAGGGGGUGUAGCAAUACAUCACCGGCGGACGGGUGCGUAACACGUGGGAAUGUACCUACUGGUUCGGAACAACGCAGGGAAACUUGCGCUAAUACCGAAUAAGCCCGAAAGGGGAAAGAUUUAUCGCCAGUAGAUCAGCCCGCGUAGGAUUAGCUAGUUGGUGGGGUAAUGGCCCACCAAGGCUCCGAUCCUUAGCUGUUCUGAGAGGAAGAUCAGCCACACUGGGACUGAGACACGGCCCAGACUCCUACGGGAGGCAGCAGUUGGGAAUCUUGGACAAUGGGGGAAACCCUGAUCCAGCCAUGCCGCGUGAGUGAUGAAGGCCUUCGGGUUGUAAAACUCUUUCGACGGGACGAUAAUGACGGUACCCGUAGAAGAAGCUCCGGCUAACUUCGCGCCAGCAGCCGC
rnacentral:rRNA from 1 species